GAUGAACGCUGGCGGCGUGCUUAACACAUGCAAGUCGAACGAUGAUGGGAGCUUGCUCCUGGAUUAGUGGCGAACGGGUGAGUAACACGUGAGUAACCUGCCCUUAACUCUGGGAUAAGCCUGGGAAACUGGGUCUAAUACCGGAUAUGACUCCUCAUCGCAUGGUGGGGGGUGGAAAGCUUUAUUGUGGUUUUGGAUGGACUCGCGGCCUAUCAGCUUGUUGGUGAGGUAAUGGCUUACCAAGGCGACGACGGGUAGCCGGCCUGAGAGGGUGACCGGCCACACUGGGACUGAGACACGGCCCAGACUCCUACGGGAGGCAGCAGUGGGGAAUAUUGCACAAUGGGCGCAAGCCUGAUGCAGCGACGCCGCGUGAGGGAUGACGGCCUUCGGGUUGUAAACCUCUUUCAGUAGGGAAGAAGCGAAAGUGACGGUACCUGCAGAAGAAGCGCCGGCUAACUACGUGCCAGCAGCCGCGGUAAUACGUAGGGCGCAAGCGUUAUCCGGAAUUAUUGGGCGUAAAGAGCUCGUAGGCGGUUUGUCGCGUCUGCCGUGAAAGUCCGGGGCUCAACUCCGGAUCUGCGGUGGGUACGGGCAGACUAGAGUGAUGUAGGGGAGACUGGAAUUCCUGGUGUAGCGGUGAAAUGCGCAGAUAUCAGGAGGAACACCGAUGGCGAAGGC
rnacentral:rRNA from 1 species